AUUGAACGCUGGCGGCAUGCCUUACACAUGCAAGUCGAACGGUAACAGGUCUUCGGAUGCUGACGAGUGGCGAACGGGUGAGUAAUACAUCGGAACGUGCCCGAUCGUGGGGGAUAACGAGGCGAAAGCUUUGCUAAUACCGCAUACGAUCUACGGAUGAAAGCGGGGGAUCUUCGGACCUCGCGCGGACGGAGCGGCCGAUGGCAGAUUAGGUAGUUGGUGGGAUAAAAGCUUACCAAGCCGACGAUCUGUAGCUGGUCUGAGAGGAUGAUCAGCCACACUGGGACUGAGACACGGCCCAGACUCCUACGGGAGGCAGCAGUGGGGAAUUUUGGACAAUGGGCGAAAGCCUGAUCCAGCCAUGCCGCGUGCAGGAUGAAGGCCUUUGGGUUGUAAACUGCUUUUGUACGGAACGAAAAGCCUCUUUCUAAUAAAGAGGGGUCAUGACGGUACCGGAAGAAUAAGCACCGGCUAACUACGUG
rnacentral:rRNA from 1 species